CCUACGGGAGGCAGCAGUGAGGAAUAUUGGUCAAUGGGCGUAAGCCUGAACCAGCCAAGUCGCGUGAAGGAUGAAGGCUCUAUGGAUCGUAAACCUCUUUUAUAAGGGAAUAAAGUGUGGGACGUGUCCUAUUUUGUAUGUACCUUAUGAAUAAGGAUCGGCUAACUCCGUGCCAGCAGCCGCGGUAAUACGGAGGAUCCGAGCGUUAUCCGGAUUUAUUGGGUUUAAAGGGUGCGUAGGCGGCCUUUUAAGUCAGCUGUGAAAGUCUGUGGCUCAACCAUAGAAUUGCCGUUGAUACUGGGGGGCUUGAGUAUAGUUGAGGUAGGCGGAAUGCGUGGUGUAGCGGUGAAAUGCUUAGAUAUCACGCAGAACCCCGAUUGCGAAGGCAGCCUGCCAAGCUAUGACUGACGCUGAUGCACGAAAGCGUGGGGAUCAAACAGGAUUAGAUACCCCUGUAGUC
rnacentral:rRNA from 1 species